CUUGUACAUCACCGCCCGUCACACCAUGAGAGUUUGUAACACCCAAAGUCGGUGGGGUAACCUUUUAGGAACCAGCCGCCUAAGGUGGGACAGAUGAUUAGGGUGAAGUCGUAACAAGGUAGCCGUAGGAGAACCUGCGGCUGGAUCACCUCCUUUCUAAGGAAUAUUACGGAAACCUACACAUUCUUCGAAACUUUGUUUAGUU
rnacentral:misc_RNA from 1 species